UCAAGCAGCUCGUCGAUGGGCAGCAGCAGGAGUUGAAGUUUUUGCAGGAAAUCGCCCAUUGGGUCGGCCUGAGCCAUAAGCAGCGCCAGCAAGAGAUCCAUCAGUGGAAAGAGACGAAUCCGGACCUGGCCCGCAGUUGCCGGAUUGCUAGCGAAGCCCUGGUCAAGGUGCAAAACGACUACAUCCACAAGCUCACGGAGGAGGCGGCCGACGGCCACGAGACGAUGAUGGACAGCGAGUACAUGCUGCAGGAAUUCAUCGAUCGGUUUGGCCCGCGGAUGGCCCAUUUGGGCGGCGUGCUGCAUAUGGUUUCGAGCCUGAGUGCGGCUAAGGACGCUCCGCCUCCUACUGCCCCUGCGCAAGAGCCGUAGGGCGAGUUCUGGCCCUACCGUGCGACAAGCUGGCAGCUUGUCGCUACUCGACUAUGCAUGUCGAACUCGUCCGCACCGUCACUCGCGAUGGCCUGCGGCUUGAUGGGGCGCUCACACCAACCCGAAGCGUCAACGAGGGCUCUUCGUCUGCUACUCCGACCGCCGCUAUCUUGCUCCACGGCGUCGCUGCCAACUUCUACACUUCCAGCACGCUGGAGCCCCUGGUCCCGAAACUGCAAGAGCUCGGCAUCGUAGCUCUGUUGGUCAAUACGCGCGGCCACGAUUCGGUUUUCGGCGCCAGCCUGGGCAUUGUGCGGCGACGGCUCGGCGCUGCCUACGAAUCGGUCGAUGACUGCCGGCACGACGUUGCGGCCUGGAUCGAGUUUCUGAAAUCGCGCGGACACGAGCGCAUUGUGCUGAUUGGCCACAGCCUCGGCGCGAUCAAAUCCGUCUAUGCCGAGGCCAACG
rnacentral:misc_RNA from 1 species